rnacentral:misc_RNA from 1 species
GAUGAAGAACGUAGUGAAAUGCGAUAAGUAAUGUGAAUUGCAGAAUUCAGUGAAUCAUCGAAUCUUUGAACGCACAUUGCGCCCGCCAGUAUUCUGGCGGGCAUGCCUGUUCGAGCGUCAUUUCAACCAUCAAGCCCCCGGCUUGUGUUGGGGACCUGCGGCUGCCGCAGGCCCUGAAAACCAGUGGCGGGCUCGCUAGUCACUCCGAGCGUAGUAGUUACAUCUCGCUCAGGGCGUGCUGCGGGUUCCGGCCGUUAAAAGCCUUAUUUACCCAAGGUUGACCUCGGAUCAGGUAGGAAGACCCGCUGAACUUAAGCAUAUCAAUAAGCGGAGGA